rnacentral:rRNA from 1 species
ACGGGGGGUGCUAGCGUUGUUCGGAAUCAUUGGGCGUAAAGAGCGUGUAGGCGGCUGGAUAAGUCAGAUGUGAAAGCCCUGGGCUUAACCCAGGAAGUGCAGUUGAAACUGUUCAGCUUGGGUAAGGGAGAGGUAAGUGGAAUUUCUGGUGUAGAGGUGAAAUUCGUAGAGAUCAGGAAGAACACCGAUUGCGAAGGCGGCUUACUGGCCCUAUACUGACGCUGAGACGCGAGAGUGUGGGUAGCAAACAG